CGCGGGGUGGAGCAGCCUGGUAGCUCGUCGGGCUCAUAACCCGAAGGUCGUCGGUUCAAAUCCGGCUCCCGCAACCA
rnacentral:tRNA from 31 species